AGCGUACACGGUGGAUGCCCUGGCAGUCAGAGGCGAUGAAGGACGUGCUAAUCUGCGAUAAGCGUCGGUAAGGUGAUAUGAACCGUUAUAACCGGCGAUUUCCGAAUGGGGAAACCCAGUGUGUUUCGACACACUAUCAUUAACUGAAUCCAUAGGUUAAUGAGGCGAACCGGGGGAACUGAAACAUCUAAGUACCCCGAGGAAAAGAAAUCAACCGAGAUUCCCCCAGUAGCGGCGAGCGAACGGGGAGGAGCCCAGAGCCUGAAUCAGUGUGUGUGUUAGUGGAAGCGUCUGGAAAGGCGCGCGAUACAGGGUGACAGCCCCGUACACAAAAAUGCACAUGCUGUGAGCUCGAUGAGUAGGGCGGGACACGUGGUAUCCUGUCUGAAUAUGGGGGGACCAUCCUCCAAGGCUAAAUACUCCUGACUGACCGAUAGUGAACCAGUACCGUGAGGGAAAGGCGAAAAGAACCCCGGCGAGGGGAGUGAAAAAGAACCUGAAACCGUGUACGUACAAGCAGUGGGAGCCUCUUUUAUGGGGUGACUGCGUACCUUUUGUAUAAUGGGUCAGCGACUUAUAUUCUGUAGCAAGGUUAACCGAAUAGGGGAGCCGAAGGGAAACCGAGUCUUAACUGGGCGUUAAGUUGCAGGGUAUAGACCCGAAACCCGGUGAUCUAGCCAUGGGCAGGUUGAAGGUUGGGUAACACUAACUGGAGGACCGAACCGACUAAUGUUGAAAAAUUAGCGGAUGACUUGUGGCUGGGGGUGAAAGGCCAAUCAAACCGGGAGAUAGCUGGUUCUCCCCGAAAGCUAUUUAGGUAGCGCCUCGUGAAUUCAUCUCCGGGGGUAGAGCACUGUUUCGGCAAGGGGGUCAUCCCGACUUACCAACCCGAUGCAAACUGCGAAUACCGGAGAAUGUUAUCACGGGAGACACACGGCGGGUGCUAACGUCCGUCGUGAAGAGGGAAACAACCCAGACCGCCAGCUAAGGUCCCAAAGUCAUGGUUAAGUGGGAAACGAUGUGGGAAGGCCCAGACAGCCAGGAUGUUGGCUUAGAAGCAGCCAUCAUUUAAAGAAAGCGUAAUAGCUCACUGGUCGAGUCGGCCUGCGCGGAAGAUGUAACGGGGCUAAACCAUGCACCGAAGCUGCGGCAGCGACGCUUAUGCGUUGUUGGGUAGGGGAGCGUUCUGUAAGCCUGUGAAGGUGUGCUGUGAGGCAUGCUGGAGGUAUCAGAAGUGCGAAUGCUGACAUAAGUAACGAUAAAGCGGGUGAAAAGCCCGCUCGCCGGAAGACCAAGGGUUCCUGUCCAACGUUAAUCGGGGCAGGGUGAGUCGACCCCUAAGGCGAGGCCGAAAGGCGUAGUCGAUGGGAAACAGGUUAAUAUUCCUGUACUUGGUGUUACUGCGAAGGGGGGACGGAGAAGGCUAUGUUGGCCGGGCGACGGUUGUCCCGGUUUAAGCGUGUAGGCUGGUUUUCCAGGCAAAUCCGGAAAAUCAAGGCUGAGGCGUGAUGACGAGGCACUACGGUGCUGAAGCAACAAAUGCCCUGCUUCCAGGAAAAGCCUCUAAGCAUCAGGUAACAUCAAAUCGUACCCCAAACCGACACAGGUGGUCAGGUAGAGAAUACCAAGGCGCUUGAGAGAACUCGGGUGAAGGAACUAGGCAAAAUGGUGCCGUAACUUCGGGAGAAGGCACGCUGAUAUGUAGGUGAAGCGACUUGCUCGUGGAGCUGAAAUCAGUCGAAGAUACCAGCUGGCUGCAACUGUUUAUUAAAAACACAGCACUGUGCAAACACGAAAGUGGACGUAUACGGUGUGACGCCUGCCCGGUGCCGGAAGGUUAAUUGAUGGGGUUAGCGGCAACGCGAAGCUCUUGAUCGAAGCCCCGGUAAACGGCGGCCGUAACUAUAACGGUCCUAAGGUAGCGAAAUUCCUUGUCGGGUAAGUUCCGACCUGCACGAAUGGCGUAAUGAUGGCCAGGCUGUCUCCACCCGAGACUCAGUGAAAUUGAACUCGCUGUGAAGAUGCAGUGUACCCGCGGCAAGACGGAAAGACCCCGUGAACCUUUACUAUAGCUUGACACUGAACAUUGAGCCUUGAUGUGUAGGAUAGGUGGGAGGCUUUGAAGUGUGGACGCCAGUCUGCAUGGAGCCGACCUUGAAAUACCACCCUUUAAUGUUUGAUGUUCUAACGUUGACCCGUAAUCCGGGUUGCGGACAGUGUCUGGUGGGUAGUUUGACUGGGGCGGUCUCCUCCUAAAGAGUAACGGAGGAGCACGAAGGUUGGCUAAUCCUGGUCGGACAUCAGGAGGUUAGUGCAAUGGCAUAAGCCAGCUUGACUGCGAGCGUGACGGCGCGAGCAGGUGCGAAAGCAGGUCAUAGUGAUCCGGUGGUUCUGAAUGGAAGGGCCAUCGCUCAACGGAUAAAAGGUACUCCGGGGAUAACAGGCUGAUACCGCCCAAGAGUUCAUAUCGACGGCGGUGUUUGGCACCUCGAUGUCGGCUCAUCACAUCCUGGGGCUGAAGUAGGUCCCAAGGGUAUGGCUGUUCGCCAUUUAAAGUGGUACGCGAGCUGGGUUUAGAACGUCGUGAGACAGUUCGGUCCCUAUCUGCCGUGGGCGCUGGAGAACUGAGGGGGGCUGCUCCUAGUACGAGAGGACCGGAGUGGACGCAUCACUGGUGUUCGGGUUGUCAUGCCAAUGGCACUGCCCGGUAGCUAAAUGCGGAAGAGAUAAGUGCUGAAAGCAUCUAAGCACGAAACUUGCCCCGAGAUGAGUUCUCCCUGACUCCUUGA
rnacentral:rRNA from 1 species